rnacentral:rRNA from 1 species
GAUGAACGCUAGCGAUAGGCUUAACACAUGCAAGUCGAGGGGCAGCAUCGUCUUAGCUUGCUAAGACUGAUGGCGACCGGCGCACGGGUGCGUAACGCGUAUGCAACUUGCCUCACAGAGGGGGAUAACCCGUCGAAAGACGGACUAAUACCGCGUACACUCCAUCUUGGGCAUCCAAGGUAGAGGAAAUGAAAUUCGCUGUGAGAUAGGCAUGCGUCCCAUUAGCUAGUUGGUGAGGUAACGGCUCACCAAGGCGACGAUGGGUAGGGGAACUGAGAGGUUGAACCCCCACACUGGUACUGAGACACGGACCAGACUCCUACGGGAGGCAGCAGUGAGGAAUAUUGGUCAAUGGGCGAGAGCCUGAACCAGCCAAGUCGCGUGAAGGAUGACUGUCUUAUGGAUUGUAAACUUCUUUUAUACGGGAAUAACAAGAGUCACGUGUGACUCCCUGCAUGUACCGUAUGAAUAAGCAUCGGCUAACUCCGUG